CUUAGCGAACUGAAACAUCUGAGUAGCUAAAGGAAGGAAAAUCAACCGAGACCCCGUUAGUAGCGGCGAGCGAGAGCGGAACAAGGGUUUUCAUCAAAAGAAAUCUGAAGCGGUUUCAUUCGAUUUGUUGUGGAUUGGAUGAUGGAAAAACCAGAAAGCAGCAAGCGUAGUUAGAAAAGUUGCCGUAGCGCGCCCUACGGAGUUGUACAAAGUCAGCAACCAUUUUGGGGCGCAAGCAUAGGCAACACAGGACUGAUGACGGGGUGGGGCGCGCAGUGAACUGGUUUUCUAAAAAGAUUGGAAGAUCCGGCCAAAGAAGGUGAUAGCCCUGUUCAUUCGUUCCCAUGGUUCGAUCCUUCCCAGUAAAACGCGGCGUGUUCGAAUGAUGAUUGCUUUUACGCGAGAAAGGGGGACCACCCUCUAAGCCUAAGUAUUCCUCAAUGACCGAUAGCGUACAAGUACCGUGAGGGAAAGGUGAAAAGAACCCCAAUCGGGGAGUGCAAUAGAGAACCUGAGAUCCGAUGCGAACAAUCAG
rnacentral:rRNA from 1 species